GGGGAGCGUUAACCUCCGCGCCUGCGCGCUGGGAGGCGCUCAUGCAGGUGGGAUCAACGUAGCUUCUGGGCACCAAGGAAAGAUUGCAUGUUACAGCACAGGCAAAUGUGCUUCAACACACCUUCCUAAAUGGUCUUGGUCUCUAUACUGGAAAUGGCACCUUGUCAGUAUCAUGGAUCAGAAGUUUCUAUAAGCCUUAUUGCUGGUGGGAAACAAGCUUCUUGGUCAAAGGUCAGUCUCAACUGACAUCACAUUCUUAACUCCUGAAAACACUGGGAUGGCAGGGUCUCCACUUAAUCACCCAGACUGGAGUCCAGUGGUCCUAUCAUAGCUCAUUGCAGCCUCGAACUCCUGGGCUCAAGCAUUCCUCCUGCCUCAGCUUCCCAAGUAGCUGGGACUACAGGUAAAAAUGGAAAUUUUAAGAAUGGAAAUUUUUAUCAACCUAAGAAGGGAAAGAAUCCAACUUUUCAUAUCGGCUAUGGAGGAAAAUUAUAUGG